CUCAUUUUUCCAAACAGUGCAGGCAUAUUUUUAGAUAUAUUACACAAAAUGUACAACAAAAUUCUAAAUAUUUAAAAGAAGAGCUUGGCUUCCUGACCAUCAAUCGAGAGGAUUCGAUGGUGCAAGUCUUGCAGGCCAGAAACAUCUUCCUGACACUACUCCCCAUCUUCUCUCCUGGCAUCCUUCACCCUGUGGAAGGAGGAACUUUUCUCUUUACCUUCUUUCCAGUCCCUCCCUGACAGCCAAGCCUGGAGACUAGCGCUUCUGCUUUCCACUGCAGCCACAAAGUAUGGGAGUGGCAGCUAGGAGGCGGCCUCCUGGGGUGCUCUUGCGAAGGUGCUUGGUAGGAGCAUCUGCUGUGCUCUGCUCUGUGGACUUCGAUCCUCCUGGGCAGAGGACACCUGUGGCGUUAAGGGGGGAGCAGGCAACCCUGCACCCUGGCCCUGUCCUGGCUGGCAGUUGUGAUGUCACUGACUACCACCUAAGGUGUCAUACUAUGCUGGACCUCAAUGACCAACACAACGAAGAUACAUUAAUUGUUUUCUGAGAUGCAGUUUUGAAAAUCAACCUAAGAUAGUAGAUGACUCCUAAGCCAAUAAAACAUUGCAUUUGUUAUAUACACAGGUGUAUGUUUGUGUUUGUGUAUUUGUUUAUACUCAAGAAAUGUAUACAGAGUCUUUCCCACUGCACAAACCUAAAAGUAAAGCCAAAUGGCCCUAUGCAAUAAAUAUCAUGAUAAUAACCUCAAAAAAAAAAAGCUUCGUCCAAUGAAUGUAAAUUCAAAAUAAAAAAAAAGAAACUGUUACUCCAGAUGUGCAGGAAUCAAUAUAAAGACACAGGAACCCUGAAAAAGCAAGAUUUAUGACAC
rnacentral:lncRNA from 1 species